rnacentral:rRNA from 1 species
GAUGAACGUUGGCGGUGUGCCUAAUACAUGCAAGUCGAACGGAGUUAAUAGCAAUAUUGACUUAGUGGCGAACGGGUGAGUAACGCGUUGGUGAUCUGCCUCGAAGUGUGGAAUAACGUUCCGAAAGGAACGCUAAUACCGCAUGUGCUCUCAGUUUUUAGAAAGUUGAGAGUAAAGGAUUUAUUCGCUUCGAGAGGAGCCUGCGUCCCAUCAGCUAGUUGGUAGGGUAAUAGCCUACCAAGGCUUUGACGGGUAGGGGACCUGAGAGGGUGGCCCCCCACAAUGGAACUGAAACACGGUCCAUACACCUACGGGUGGCAGCAGUAGGGAAUAUUAGAAAUGGACGAAAGUCUGAUCUAGCGACACCGCGUGUGCGAUGAAGGCCUUCGGGUUGUAAAGCACUUUUUGGAAGGAAUAGGAAGGAAGGUACUUCCAGAAUAAGUCUCGGCUAACUACGUG